GAUGAACGCUGGCGGCGUGCUUAACACAUGCAAGUCGAACGAUGAACCCGGGGCUUGCUCCGGUGGAUUAGUGGCGAACGGGUGAGUAACACGUGAGUAACCUGCCCUUGACUCUGGGAUAACUGCGGGAAACUGUAGCUAAUACCGGAUACGACCCUCGGCGGCAUCGCCAGGGGGUGGAAAGAAUUUCGGUCAAGGAUGGACUCGCGGCCUGUCAGCUAGUUGGUGUGGUAACGGCUCACCAAGGCUACGACGGGUAGGCGGACGGAGAGGGUGACCGGCCACACUGGGACUGAGACACGGCCCAGACUCCUACGGGGGGCAGCAGUGGUGAAUAUUGCACAAUGGGCGCAAGCCUGAUGCAGCAACGCCGCGUGAGGGAUGACGGCCUUCGGGUUGUAAACCUCUUUUAGUAGGGAAGAAGCGAAAGUGACGGUACCUGCAGCACAAGCACCGGCUAACUACGUGCCAGCAGCCGCAGUAA
rnacentral:rRNA from 1 species